rnacentral:rRNA from 1 species
GGGUCAGUAGGUUGGUCGUGCCACCGGUACGUACUGGUCUCACUGAUUCCUCCUUCCUGAAGAACCGUAAUGCCAUUAAUUUGGUGUUGCGGGGAAACAGGACUGUUACUUUGAAAAAAUUAGAGUGUUCAAAGCAAGCUAACGCUUGAAUACAUUAGCAUGGAAUAAUGAAAUAGGACGAUCGAUCCUAUUUUGUUAGUUUCUAGGAUUGACGUA